rnacentral:rRNA from 1 species
CUUUACUGUAGCUUGGUAUUGUGCCCGGGCUCUGAAUGCGCAGGAUAGGUGGGAGGCUUUGAUCCAUUGCUUGUGGGUGAUGGUGAGCCAACGGUGAGAUGCCACUCUUUCAGAGCUAGGGUUCUAACGGUCACCCGUCAUCCGGGGACCGGACAGUAUCAGGUGGGCAGUUUGACUGGGGCGGUCGCCUCCUAAAAGGUAACGGAGGCGCGCAAAGGUGUUCUCAGGCUGGUUGGAAAUCAGCCGUAGAGUGUAAAGGCAGAAGAACGCUUGACUGUGAGACCUACAAGUCGAACAGGGACGAAAGUCGGCCUUAGUGAUCCGACGGUUCUGUGUGGAAGGGCCGUCGCUCAACGGAUAAAAGUUA